GUAUCUUUCUUUGCAGCAGUACUUCAUCCUACGGCCACAGCAGGAAGCCCCGUACUUUAUGGCAUCCUUUAUUUAGAUAUGAUUUCUUAUGUAUACACGAAUAUCAUCAACCGGGUUGUUUGAGGAAAUAAAAUCGGCCUUCAUGACAGCUCCUGAUAGACUGGCUCUACUACCUUCUAGUUUACACCCGCCCGUAACCAGAUGUCUCUGCCUUGGCGCCUUCCAUAGUCACAUCACGCUGUCUCUGGGCCAGAAGCCCACCAAGGUCAAAGUUCCCCUUUAGGAUAUUUGAAAGGUGAUAACGCUGCCGAAGACGGAUGUUUCAAAUCAGUAACUGUGGUUCGUAAACUCAGCCUCGUACUUCUCAUGUAUUUGUACGAAGCACAAGUGAUAUGAACACAAGUGGUAUAGUGCAUCAGUUUACAGCCCAUAUUUUAUCACACUGACAAGCACUCUGGCAAACAUUGUUUUUGGAUUGUGGUGGUGUUCCUGCGUGCAUACAUGUUUUAAAUUGUGAGUAGUGACAUCUGUAUAUUUGUGGUGGUUAGUCUAAAUUUGGCAGAGAUGGGAGAAUAGUAUUCCUUAGUUUUGGCAGUUAGACGUAGAACGUAGUGGUGCUUCAAAGUUAGGGACGUGCUGUGGGUGUGACAUCGCUGCUGUUGUUGUUGACAUUGAAUGGCAUUUGGUGACGAUUGGAAAUUUUGGAUGGAUGAUUCCAGCCGCUGCAGUCAAUGAUCAACUACAAGAAAGUUGACAGCUAUACAGCCUUCCUUCAGCCAAGGACUUAUUGAUUUAUAAAACUUGUUUGAUUUCGUUACGGAACAAGAAGAAACGAAUUUUAUUUUAAAUGAAGAUGACAAUAUUACGCUAUUCAUACAAAAUACCAAUUAGCGUCAAAUUCCCUGAAUGAAACGGAGGCUAUCACCAAUCAUCAUUUACAAUUGUAUGAGGUUAGUUUGCUUUCUUUGACCUCUGAUAUUUCCGCUAAAGAAUCUCUACUCCGGAACGACACCAAUGAGCUGGAGUUUUUGAUAAUUGAAAGUAAUAAAAGGCAAGUUGAAGCAGAUAAGCUUCAAAAGGAAGCAACAGAACUCGAUAAUGAAGCGCGUGAAUUGGAACAGAAAGUUCAUCACACUCAACAGAGGAUGGACAAAAGGGUAAGAAACAGGUGGAAGUGGAUUA